UACGGAGGGUGCGAGCGUUGUCCGGAAUCACUGGGCGUAAAGGGCGCGUAGGCGGCCUGGUAGGUAGGGUGUGAAAUCCUGCGGCUUAACCGCAGGGCUGCCUUCUAAACUGUCAGGCUAGAGCACGGUAGAGGCAGAUGGAAUUCCCGGUGUAGCGGUGGAAUGCGUAGAGAUCGGGAAGAACAUCAGUGGCGAAGGCGGUCUGCUGGGCCGUUGCUGACGCUGAGGCGCGACAGCGUGGGGAGCAAACAGG
rnacentral:rRNA from 1 species